UACGUAGGGUGCAAGCGUUGUCCGGAAUUAUUGGGCGUAAAGAGCUCGUAGGCGGUCUGUCGCGUCUGCUGUGAAAACUCAGGGCUUAACCCUGGGCCUGCAGUGGGUACGGGCAGACUAGAGUGCGGUAGGGGAGACUGGAAUUCCCGGUGUAGCGGUGAAAUGCGCAGAUAUCGGGAGGAACACCGGUGGCGAAGGCGGUUCUCUGGGCCUUACCUGACGCUGAGGAGCGAAAGCGUGGGGAGCGAACAGG
rnacentral:rRNA from 1 species